rnacentral:lncRNA from 1 species
CAAUACACUUAACAAGACAAUUCUACUUAAAUCUUUCAACUUCUUUGGAUCUUGACUACAUGGUUGGAAGAGUACUAGUCACCGUGAUAGAGAGAGACAGAGGAAGAAAGAAUAUUCUAAUACAUAGUUUUGGGUUGUCUUGGAUGUGAAUCAUGUUAGAUCCAUUUAAACCCAAUAUAUGAGUGUUGGAUGUGGGUCAGGUUAGAUGCAUUUAAACCAUAAUAGCCCUUAAUCCCAAUCUUUUUAGUGACUAGAUUUGAUGUUCUUAAGUUCAAAUUGACUGAAUGUCUAGAUUUGUCAGCUACUUCUUUUAGCAUGGUUUAGUCAACUAAUUGUUCAUGUUAUACUUUUUUAAGCAUGAACUAUUCAAAACAUAGAUCAUAUUCAAUCUAAAGGAUUGAGUUUUUAGAUGAAAUGAUAAUGCUAAAUAUUUUUAAACUGCACCAAAGCUAAAGGUCUUACCUUCAAAUCUUCCCCAGGCACGCAUUAAAAAACAAUCCCCGAUUAGUUCAAGUUUUAUAUGUUGCUCUUAGGCCUAUUUGCUCACCCACAUGUGCAGGGGAAUAUUAACAAUAUACAUCAUAUCUCAUGUACAGUCUUAAGUUUUCAAAUGAAAUGAUAGCAAUCAAAUAUGAAUCUUGUAUUUGCACCUCUUUAUUUCACCUGAUUUUCAUAUUUGUGUAAUGUCUGUUCUUCUCUCUAGCUUGUACCAUGCACUUGGGUUCAAGUUCCACUUUCCACAUGCAAGUGUGUCAAGCCUAAUCUAGGAGAUGUUAAACUUCAUAAAUACAGUAGGUUUUUCCUAUCAACUUUUAAGUUCUUAGAUUGUAUUGGUAACCGAUCUCCAUGUAUGGCAACCCUGACUGGUAACACUAGGAAAACUAUAGUAAAAAAUAAUUCUAACAUAGUAUGAGAACCAAGUGGACAAAAGAAUCAGUCAAAUUUAAAAAAGAAAGAGUUAGAUGACCAGUUGGUUGCAGGCCACAUCAAAUUAAAAUUUGACUAAAUGAAGAUGAGUGGCGAUAUGAACAAGAUGAAGACAAUCAUCCUACGCAUGAACAGGAAUGAGAAUAAAUGCUAGGAAAAUAUUCAUGUGCGAGAUUGAAUUAAGAGAGAAUUAAGAAUAUCUUAGUAAUUCAUAUUGCUAAGGAUCGAACGAGUCAAGUGAUAUAUAUCAGGUGUGGCCGAUAACACAAAAAUUUAAGCUUUUGUGAAAAGUGAUCACCCAAUUCAAAACCUUUAUCAUAGGAUGGAAGCAUGUCAUGUGUUCAAAUGCUAUGUAUUGCCCUUCUUUGUUUCAUAUGGUAUUUAAUUCAUAUUCAUAAAAUAUUCAUUGUUCCUUUACGUUUGCCCAAUGUACUUGGGCUCUGGUUCCAUAUGUCUAGCCUACUCCAGAUUUCAUACAAGAGAGGCUAUAGAAGUUCAUAAAUAUAUUGGACACUUUUCUAACAACUUAAAGGUCACAUUGGAAUUCAUCCACCAUAUAUGUUAGCUUGAAUUCUUGUGAAAGAAAAAUCCAACAUGAACCUACGUGCACUGAUAUCGCCAAAUCACAUUCUCGAACUCAAUUUGAUUCCACUUAGUGUACUAUUAAUGAGUUUGGGUGGAACCACCUUGGUAGAAUAGAACUUGAUGGUUAACAGUUCAAACCGCAAACUCACGUGCACUUGCUCGAUCAACUCAAUGAUUCACUAUUAAAACUUGGUCCUCUGGACUUUAUGUUGUGUGGUGAUAAGGAUGACAAUCAUGAUCGUGAUGAUGGAUGGUUGGGUGGGUAACAAUGAGAAUCUUGGAUGGUGGUGAAUCAAAUAGUAGGUUGUUAAUGGUUAAAUCCAAAUUUAACCUCAAAACAAUUCGAUGAUGAAUUUACCACCCAAGGCACUUCUCUAAAAAAUAUUUCGUACUGAUGCAAUAUAAUAUAUUUUGAGUAUUAAUUGCCCAAUCGAGGACAAGAAGUACUAAUUGUCAUCGAUAAUUUGAGAAACCCUUGUUCUAAUUAAACAUGUUUUAUCUCCAUUAUGCAUGUUAAAAGUAUGAGAUCUAGGGCUAUAAACAUACACCAAAAUUCAACAUUAAUCUGUUGACUAUUUUAUAGAAGUUCCAAAUUUUAUAAGGUAAGGGAACAACUAACCUUUGCUUCAACAUAUUUCAACUUGAUAAAGAGAUGGUGCUUUCCUCCCCAACCUUCAGCUAAUGGAUAUUGUGCAAUGUAAUCAGUAGCCUGAAAACACAAAAUGGUAUUCUUCAUAGUUAUUAAAACUUCACAUGCAAACAUGACAUCUGAAAGAAAUGUUCAACAUAUUCCAAUGUAAAAACCCAAUAAAUUCUCUUGACAAAAAAUUAAAUAUAAGCAUUAAUGAUCGCAAAAUAUCACUACCAAGAAGAUAUCAAUUAGACAUGACCAUAAAAUGACCAGAAAAAAGCAUGUUUGUUGAAUAAAGAUUAAUGCUGUCAGGUUAACAUUUUAGUUAGAAUGUAGAAAGGAUAAAACAUGUUUUCUUAUGUUGAAAAUGAUGACAGGAAGUGAAUAUUUCAAAUGAGAAUGUAGAAUUAGCAUAUAACAUGUGAAAAACAUUAUGGCAAUGCAUUGAUGCAACUAUAAACACAAAUAGCAAUGUUACUAACAACGAUAUAAUUAAAGAUCAUCAAAAGCAAUAAACACAAACUGACCACAAUAAUGAUAAUAACAGUAUUGUAGAAGUUCAAAUAACAUGCACUACGAUCUAGCUGGAAUUAAUAUUUCAUUCAAAGAGAAGAUAAAAAUAACCUUGAACAGUAUCAUCAAUCAACAUCGUAAUAAGCACCGAUGAAAUGGUUGGAUAUCCGAUUCUGUCAAAAAGAGCUUCCUAGAAAGAUUAAGCCUCUAUCACUAGUACUGGUUACGAGUCUAUAAGCAAAAAGGUCCACUUAGCAGAUCAGAAUGUCAAUUCUUGAGCCAAAUCCACAUAAAUAAGCACAUGGAGUCAAAUCUUUGAGAGAGAUACUAGAGAUACUUGACUAAUCAGCACAUCAAUUAUUGGUGUUAUUUAAUGGCCAUCCUUCAUCUUAUGACUUAAAAUAGGAAACAAGUGGCCAUUUAGCAAUUUUAUUAUAUUUUCAUGAAUAAUACUAUGUAAGAGAAAGCUCAAGGAAUAGAGACCGGAAGCCAAUUUGGUUUUUAGAAAGUUGGUGUAAACAUUCAAUGUGCAGUUGCUGCAGCAUGGUAACAAGUAUAAUGCUACCACUAGCGAAAAUAGAAAUAUAGAUCAACAGCCAAAUAAAAAAGAGAGAGAGAACCGAUGACAAUUAACAGGUAUUUAGUAGUUAAGGCCAAAAUAAAUCUACUGAUGAUCUGUGGGAAGAAAGAUUGAUUUAGCCAGCUAAUAAAUGAUAACUCAUGGUAUCCACAGUUCCUUGCAUGAAUAAGAAUGAAAAACAUCUAAUACUUGUAAGAUAUUUCACCUAAAAUAGAUAUUACCAUUCAUUGUAAAAAAGUUUAUUUAUUGACAGAACAAAAUAAAAAUGACAUACUGCACAAGGAACAUAAACAACAGAAGUCAAACUAGAAACAAAAUUAAAGAAACAUAAAAACGAAAGUCAAGAUGCAUGAACCAAAUAGCAUUUAAUAUGCAAGUGUAAAAUGACAAUUUCAUAAGCACAUAAAUAAGCAGAAAGUGAUCUGUUGCCACUUGUUUCCCUAUAAUAAAUAGCAAAAGAGUUUUCUAAUGUACAAAGAGGAAAGCAAGCAGGAAGAAGCUGUAGAUGACUAAAGUGUUGAAUUGUAGCACAACCUGUUGCCAGCACUUAACCAUCUCACAUGCUAACCUCCUUUUCACAGCAAGGGUAGCCGUGACACUAUCCAUUGCCAUCCAUAGUUGAAUAUCAACACUCUAAACCAAUCAUGGGAACAGGGAAGGAGAGCAAAUUAGAGUGAGAAAAAUGUUUAUUGCUAGCUCAUGUACAUAGAAGCACAAUAAAGGGACACUCUCAUGUUAAUGCAAAUUCAAAGAUCAUUUAAAUGACAGUUCAGACACUGGUAUCUGAAGAUUUUAGAACACCAAUAUUGUGUAGAUCAUGGAGCUUCUAUAUUAUGCUAAUUUAUUUUAUAGAAUUUUAUCAAAACUGCAAACCAGCAUAACUAUAUUACAAAUAAUAGAUAUAGCCUCAUUAUCGAUACUGAAAAUAGAUAUAACCUGUCUUAAUGGUUCUAUUAUCAGAAAUAUCUACAACAUUACAGUUAAGUUAUCCCAUUCAAAAGAUGCAUUACACAAGUGCUUAUAGGACAUAGAAUAACCAUAUAAUAAAGAACAGAUAUAGUUCCGAUAUGAUACUGAGAAAAGAUAAACUUGUGUCAGUGGCUCUUUAUCAGCAUUAGCUACAAAGUUGCAGUCAACUAAUCACAUAUGGCAGAUGCAUUACUUGAGUGUUCACAGGAUAAUUAAAAAGGUCCAAAUGGUAUAAUUAAGUCAUUAACAUCAUUCGAAAUAUGCAGAAGUCAUUAGGAAAGAACUCUUGAACUGUUUCAUAUCAUAGUUCAAGUGACAGGAAAACAAUUAACUUUGAUAACAUAAAGAACAUUGCCAAUGCAAAAUAUAUCCUUCAUUAUAAGAAAAAUUACUCAAUUGUUUCUGAAAAUUUUGGAGAACAAACUUUUAGCUUCUACAUUUUUUCAGAAACAUACGCUGAAAAGAUACCAAAAUACGAAUGAACAAAAGAAUUGAUUAUAAACAUAUGCUAAAUCCAAAAGAUGACAUUAACCAAACAAAAGAAUUGAACUUGAACACAUACAAAUAAACAUUUUCCACAAGGAGAUUCCAAUAUCAUGAUUAUUUUGUUUUGAUCUCCAUAUUAUAUUGGACCUGAUGUUAUUUUUACACUUAACUCUCAAGUCUAUAAUCAAACUUUGUACCACAUUGACCAUCUUCAUAAGUUCAUGAAUUGGCAACCUGCAUAUUGCUCCUUGCACUAUCUUCACCUAGCAUCGAGCCUUUAUUUUGGAUGCGAGGUGACCAGGUUUGGACACUUCUAUGCAUUUUGUACAAACUGCUACUUCCAUGUGCCAUUAGCCAUGUAUGACCGGUACCCAUUUUUGAAAAACCUAUAUUUUGCAAUUUCUGAAGACAAGUCACUUGACAGCAUGGAUCAGUAUUCUCAUUUUAGUGACAUCAUUAAAUUCAUUUAUCUUAGAUGCUUAUAUAAUAAAUGAUACUCCACCAAUGGUCCUCUUUAUUGCUCAAAACUUCAAAUUCAUAUAUCAGAAUUAGUUCACUUGCAUCUGCAUCUAAAAACUUUCACCAACCAUGCACCCACUGCAGUGCAAAGGUGAGCUACCCGGUGUUAAGUUUGACCUUACUAGAUUGCAUGGCAAACAGGCAUCGAAAAAUUAAAUAAUCGUACAAGAAUAAAGCCAAUCAACACUGGGUACUUGGUUUAAUCAAAAGGUAUAGCAAAAUAAGCUCUAGUCAAGAAAGAGAAUAUAGCCAACAUAGUUUAAAUUAAAAGAUAUUUAUAAAAGAAAAAAGAACUCUUUGACUAUAGGAUGAGCCUAAAUUAUCCCAUAGAAUCAAUGUACAUAACCUAAGAGAAUAAGUACCUGACCCAAUGCUUGAAUAUGAAGAGAGUGGAGCACUCCUUCAGCCAGGUCUACAGGAAGUUCCUUCCUACAAAUUGCAAUAAUGAUGAAAAAAUCAAAGCAUGUCAAUCUCAAAGGGAAACAUCUUAACCCAGGAUCUUGCGUAGAUAACAGUUACAUGUAGCAAAUUAACAAAAUUAAUCUCUAAGAUGUGGCUAAAAUAUUUACUAGAUCAUAACCUCAGAUCAGGAGGAAGUCGAGGAAGGACAUGCUGAAUAGCACAAUCCAAAUAGCCUGCUGCCUUCAAGAAUUUAUCAAUGGAGGUCCUCCUGCUUUCUGUGAAAAUAUCGCUAAACUGAAGUUUCUCCAAGUGAUCAUAAUGUUCACCUCAUACAUCUUGCCACACAAUUUAAAUUUUAUAUGCAGGAAGGAUUUUGUGAGGUGAAAUUGGCAACAUCAAAGAAAGCCACAAAAUAAGAAUGAAGCAUAAUAUCUAAUUAUAUGAACUACACUAAUCAUAUGACUUUUGUGACUAGAUUUAUGUUGUGGCUAACUAUAACAUUUAAAAACAAAUGAUCUCUCUGGAAUCUCGAAUCUGGUUAAUGAUUGUGACACUAACAGUAACAGGUUCGUGAAGAAAGAUCUUACUGGAGCAAAAACAAGGUGAUUGUUUCGUUGGAUAUGAUGAAAGAAAAUGGUACCAGAGAAUAUUUAUGGAAUAUAUCUCAAUCAAGAAAGAAUGUAAUGUUUCUUCAUAAAAAACAAAUGACCUCUUCAACUUCUUGAAGAUCUUAAUGGAACAGAAGUGAGGUAAUUGUCUCUGAGUUGGAUAUGAUAACAAGACCAAUACCAACGAUCUGUGAAAUCUUCUCAAUCAAGAAAGGAUGUGAUCCUUCUUCACUAAAGCAGAUCUGUGGAACUAAUAAAAAGGAUGUACAGACUUCAUUAAGGAUGCAAGGUGAUGUGAAAAAAUGUAAUGAUGCUCUUUUUACUUUUCAAAUCCAGACCUCAAUACCCACCUUCAUAUUCCUUAAGAUGAUCUCCAUCGCCAGAUACUUUGGGAAGAAGCAAUAAGUUGGCCUCAGAGAAACAUAUCAUAGCCAUCAAGUGCAGAACUGAAAGCACCUCAUACCAAGCAUUUGCCAUUUUUGUUUCCUGCAACAGUCACCAAUAAGCUUUUCUUAUUCUAAGAUAAAAACAGCAUAGAAGGUGGAAACAAUAUGUUACAGUACCUCAGCAUCAUCCAUCUGGUUAGCCCAUGCAAACUGUACUUUGUCUGUUAGUUGACUUCCUGCAAAUUGUAGUUAACACAAUGGUCAGAAAGUUGAAACAAAUUGAAUAAAUCAUGAUUUGAGUGCAAAAAUUAAGAUGAUAAAAAUAAAAAUCAAGUCUUCAUAAAACAAAUGAACCAAGUUACCAUCUUUCGCCAAUCCCAGUAGAACUGGUAAGUAGUCUUCCAGAGCCUGCAGAAGAUCAGCCAAACUGGAACCUCCUGCAUGCACAAAAUCUAUUAGGUGCUUGCCUAUUCAGAUUAGCCCAAACAGAGUGGAGUUCACAAAAUCUCAAUCUGCUGACCAUGUUGUGUGGCUGUUUUUCUCCUUGGCUUUGCAACAGUUGGUGCCUCUUGGGCAGCCAUAACUACUAUUUUAGUUCUCAGGGCUGACAGGUGUUCGACUAAACGCUUCGGCAAUCUGUCACCCAGUGACUGAACAAAGUCUACGUUUUUAGGGGCUCGCAAGCCUGGCACGAAGACCGCCACCUCUUCGACAAUCCCUGGCCUUCCUUUGUUUGCAACUGCAUCUUCUGGUUUUGAACCAACGCAUCCCAUAUCCUGGAACUUUGUUCUGCCAGAUGCAAAUUCAAUGAUUGUUAAUGCCUAACAAUUAUCAAACACGUUACUGAUCUUUAUCUUAAUAGAAGAUCGCUCACCAAGCCAUCCUAGGAUAACAAGGAUGUGUUGUCCUUAACAAUAAGGAAUAAGAGAAGCUACUAAAUCAAAGCUAACAGUUCCCUAAUAACAGAUGGGAUGUAACUAAAUUUUCAUACUUGAAGGCGAAAGGCAUCCACAAGCUAAAGCUGAAACGUGGCAUAACAAUCCUGAGUUCAACCAACACAGGAAGGCUGAAGUAAAUGCUAACGACUAAAGCUAUAGGUGACUCACGGGCAUUACCUAAGAACUAGAAUCCAGAAAAUUCAUACUUGGACCAAUCCCACGAGUCCAUCACAUAUAAUUAAAGCAAUCAAGCACUCUCACCUUUCUUAUCCAAUCAGAAGCUAAAUUGAACAGCCUCUUGGUCUCCGCACUAUAGAAUUCGCACGUCACAAGGCAAACAAACGAGAAAGUAAGAAAAAAGGGGCGCUGAAUAGCCACGGAGAAAGAUUUUUCUGAAACUUAACUCAUCUAGAGAUCCUUAGCGAUUACUCGAAGAAAUCCAGAUACAACCUUGAAAGCAAAGCAGGAACUCAAUGCCAAAAGAAGGAGCAACCUUCAUUUGAUUUCCAAACCACUAACUCAAUCGUGCAAAUGAACAUUAGACCACGAGAAAUCACCGACGCAACGCAUCAACCAACGCACGAAAAGAAAGAAAAAUUGAGAUACAACGAACGAGCAGCGAGUGACUUACCACAGAUCUCAGCAAGCAGAGAGCGAUUCAAGAAGCAGAGAGUGAAAGACGAAGACGUUUGGAAUUGCGAUCGGGGAGAGGGCAUUUAAAGGUGGGUGUUGUUCGAGGGCAUUGGUUUGGAUCCCAACGAGCGACCGAUACAUCCCCUUAAUGCCUCUUAAUUUAAACAUAAUGCUUUGUUUGUGAUGUGUCUUUUAUUUAAUGUGGAUGAUGGAAAUGGGGAUUGAUUUAAUAUUCGUGGCUGCAUGAUAUUAACUAUAUUUUUAUUUAAAAGGACAAUGAUUUAUUGGAAUAUAAAACGACAUAUAAAUGCUUUAUGGUUUGUUUGUUUGUAAUAAAUAUAUUAAAUAUUUAAAAACGUUAAAAUAUGAAAUUAUUGAUAGUUUUGUUUCUAACACCCGUCGGUGUCGAGGAAACGUUUUCUCUCGCCCAAAACAGGAAUCAGACAAAGAAGAGACUAUGCACGUCAUACAAAAAACAAAAAAACACUUUCGAGACCUACCGUCACGUGCCGCCCGCCGCCUCAUCGAUCACGGACCUCCACGUGGUGGCUGGGAGUGAGAUCUCCAGCGGACCGACGGCGACCGUCGCUUGGCGGCUUCCUCCCUCGAGUCGAUCACCAAGCAGCUCGCUGCCGCCCUUCAUCUCCAGCCAUCCACGUGUCAUGAGAAGCAAAAAAGAAAUCUCCCUCUCGCUCGUUUGAGACUUUUGAAUCUGAUCGUCGACUUCGUGAAUCUUGAGGCUCUAUGGUUUCUUUGUAAUAAAAAUUGUAGGGAAAAAGUCUAAUAUAUUUACAAAUUUUAAUGUUUUCUUAAAUGAUGGGACUAAUUGGUUUAUGAAUUUCGUUUAGUCUAAACUAUUAAUCAAAAUAUUUAAGUUAAAAUUAUUAAUAAUACAUUCGUAAAACCCUUAUAAGUCAAUCUUAAUCUUGUCCACUUUCGAUAUGGAACUAAAGGUGUUACAGAUAGACUCUACGAUAUUUAAAAUCGACAGAGGUAAAAUAAAAUUAAAUAUUUUAUUUUUAUAAAUAUAAAAAUCCUAACGUAUCUUUUCUUUUUUUAAGUAACUUAUUGAUUGAAACAUGCCAAGCAUAUGCUUACUUGGAGCGCUGCAUCUACAUGAACCUGAAACCUACAAGGCAAAAGAACGACAACAUACGGUACACAACAAAGCUAGCUAUCACUCUCUUAUGCUUCUGCAAACAACUGUUCGAGCUGUUCUCCAGUGGCACGGGGGCCGCUUCGAGUCCAUCCAUCUCUUCUUCUUCGUCAAUGGUGUCCAACACACUCGCAGCCUUGUGCUUCACAACUGGGAUGAUCUCCGGCGGCGCCACCUCCGUCACAAACUGGACGCCAUAGCCCUUCACCAUCUCCGAAUCAAGCAAGGAAGGGAUCGAAGUCUAAGAAGCUUUUUAUUGGCUCAGAAGAGAGAGAGAAAGAGAGAGAGUACCCAAAGGAAGGAGGAGGUCUUCAGGCAGCCUUUGGUGCUCUCCACUUGUCUACCUGCAACAUAUAUUUAUAAACGAGCAGGAAGAAGAGAUGGCUUCACUCCUGUGGACUACAUAGCGAACCACAAUUCAUUAUCACAUGAUUUGCGUGUGCGUUAUUACGGCCACAAGGUUUUAAGCAUGUGGAUCGUUUGGACGUGAGGUUAGCAAUUUGGACGGUCUAUAGAAAGCCACGUGUUUGUUGUGAUUCGGGCAUGUGUACCUUGUGUGACCUAAAGUUAUUAAUUUCUUUUAGCAGGAACAAUUAAUUGAUCUAAGUUAUCUAUGGCAAGUGAAAUGAUUCUUUGUUCUAAUUCCAUUAUAGAAAAUGUUUAUAUGCUAAAGGAUUAAAAAUACAGUAUAUCAUUUUAUACUUUAAUUCAUAUAAAUUAAUAUAAAUUAUUAUUAAAGUGAUUAAUAUUGAUAAAUGAUCAUUUGUUGUUAUCAUAAAAUGACUCAUAAGGAAUUGUUCAUUUUAGAUGGGUUAAUAUAGUUUUAUUAUUUCAAAAUAAAUAAAAAAAAUGAGUUUGAGGGCAGAAAAUGACUCUAACACUUAUAAGGUCUUAGUUCUCAUAUUUGUUAAUCGAUAUAUUUAUUGUCCGUGGAGUUGAAGCUAAGCAGAUCCUUCUUCUAGUGUCAAAUAUAUUGAUAUAAUUUUUAAUUUUCUGAUUGAGAUGUCGAUUAUUUUUGAUAUUUUAAAUCUAAAAUUAUUUUAAAAAUAUGUUUAAUAAAUUUGUUUUAAUAAUUAAAUUAGCUUUAGUUAUGAGAGUUGAAAGUACGAAAGCUUAACAAUUUUACCUUAUAGAGAAAUAUGAAACUAAGAGGAAUUUUAUAGUGUGACUUUAUGGAUGUUAUUUUGGAAGACAAUUAUUGUUGGGACAAUUUCGUUCUCCUCACGAUUCUUUUGAAAUCAUAUCACAUCAAAUCGGGAAAUACAAUAGCUAUGACGUAUUUUAUAAUAUUCGAAAGAUAACUCUAUAUCGACUACAUGAUGUUGAAAUAUUAAACAUGUGACAUUUUAAUAAGUGUGAGUCCCAUGACACUAAGAUAUCCAUCAAUUAUUUAAUGAGCAUGUAUAGACUAUAUGAUUAAGUAGAUGUUAAUCACAUAGCUAUGCGAUGAAUAGGUGUUGCCCAUGACAUCAUUCCUUAUCAAAUAUCAAUUGUUAUACAUACAUAUAUAUAUAUAUAUAUAUAUAUAUGUAUAUAUAUAUAUCAAAACAAUGACAAUGGUUAUCGUUUGAUCAGCAGUCUCAAAAUCGAACCGGUGAAGCAUUACAAAAUCAAUUAACUGCAAUUGGUUUAUGUCGAGUAUCUUCAGUAUAAUGUUUUAUCCAUGUUUGUCGUCUCUAAACCUUCAAUUAAUGAACUUGAUUUGCAUUUACAAAGUCCCUUCAAUUUAAUUCAUUACUAUAUUAACUUAUAGUGUUGUUUAGUGAGAUAAUACACAAUUAUUAUUACUAUCCUCUUUACUAUUUCUUCCCUUCUCCCUCUUGAUCAUAAAUCCUUCUACCUCUUGAUCAUGAUGUAAACAUGAAACUUUUUAUUUGAUACAUACAAUACUAAAUUAUUGAUUUAUAAUUAUAGAAAAAAACUUAUUUUAUUUUUUUUUAAAAUAUAAUAAUAAUAAAACAGUAAGUAAAAAAGAUUUGUAUUAUUUUUUCGUUAUAAUCCGUAAGAAUAAUAGAAUAUGCAAAGAAAAGGUCAAUUUUCUCCGCUUGUAUUUGCUCAAUACUUGUCACGUGUAAUUGUCGUGUGCCGUAUGGUCAAGGCCUGUGUUUAAGAAGUCGGCCAACACAAACAGGCAAAUCAUCCAAUCACAAAUAAACAGUCCAGAAGAUUUAACACGUGGAAUCUUUUUGUCGGUUGAUAUUUACUGUGUGUCUACGACGCUGACACCAGAGAACCACUCCCUCCCGAAAGGUCCCCCAUAUAAUAAAAGUUGCAUCAUUCAUGCACCCAAUACAUCCGCACACAUACCUACCGGCCGAUGGCAGUGGCGGAUGCGUGGCGAAAGCGCUCCGCGUGCUACCAUCGCGUGGGAAAUCGGCGUUCACGAAAGUAUUGACGGAGAAAUAGCAAACAUCCUCCGCCUCUUCUUCUUCUUCUGUGCUCGCAGUAAAGCACGAACAAAACGAAAUUAAAUAUAAAGGAAGGAACUGAGGGGGACAAUAGCAUAAAAGAGAGAGAGAGAGCGCGCUCCGUUUCGAUCGAGGAGGAGAAACCCUAAUGGUGAUGCCCGACGCCUGUAAUGGAUCGAGGCCCCCCAAACCCUGCGUCUGAGCCCGAGAGAUGAUCGAUGAGCGGCGGCCGGGUGGUGCAGAUGUCCGCCUCCUCCAUGGCCCCCGCCGCGCCGCCGCAGCAGCCCCCGCCCACGCUCCCCUCCGCUGUUUCCCGAUCGCCGCCGGCGCACCCCCAGUCCCAUCCCCCCUCUGCCCUCUCCCUCGGCCUCCUCCCCCUCCCCCUGCCCCUCCCCCUCCUCCCCGCCCCCGUCACCCGCCACCCGGCGGGGUCCGAUUCCGUCGAACACGUGGCCCCGCCGGUCGCCAAGGUGAAGCUGGCUGACAUUGUGCCGUAUGAGGGGGCUCCCGGCGGGGUGUAUUCCAAGGCGGUGGAGGAGCUGUCGGGGUCGCUGAUGAGGCACAACGCCGUGGUGAUCGAGCUCGGGAGCGAGGAGGCGGUGGUUGUAAAAUGUGCGCUGGAGUCGGCGAGGAUGUGCUUUAAGGCGAGGGCGCAGUGCAAUGGUGCCGGUAGUGGUGUCUCGGGUUGGGGGAAGUUGGGCCGCGGUGUUUAUACCUAUCGUGCUGGAAGGUGAGAAAAUUAUGCAAAAUUAUGAGCUUAAUACUUUUUUUGCUAUGCUUUCUGUUGCAUAAUUAUAAAAUUAUACGCUUCAUACCCUUUUUGCUUUGCUUUUUGUGGCAUAAUUGUUGAAAAUAAUGACAUAAUGAUCGGACCAAGAUUACUGAACUGAGUGGUAAAUUUUAUAUAAAAAGAUGGCGUGUUUGGUGCAUCCCAUUUGAGCGGACAGUAACCAUAGGAAAUCCCAGCUUCUUAGGUUAGAAGAGAUGGUGGCUAUUUAUUACUUGCAAGUAAUUAAAUAAAAUGCUGAUCUCCUCACAAAAUUUUAUGAACUCCAGUCAGAUCUAGUUGGAGUUCUCCAUCAUCAUUUACAGUUCUCAAAUCCUCAAUGUAUGAAAUAUUUCCUGCCCAAUUUAUGACAACACUUCUGCUCUUAGGUGAGAUCUUUACAAUAUCUCAUCGACCAAUUUAAUUGAAGAGUAAUCUGAACAAACUAUUUGCUUUAAUUCUAAAGGAGCAAGAGAUCCUGGUCAUCAUGUUGACAAUGAUGGAAGCUGUUGCAGUAGUUCAUUGAUUGAACUGUUGUGUACCCAUUAUGUUAUUGUGUCAAGUGUACCACCAUUAAGUUGCAAAUUAUAUUUCUAAGAUACAUAAGUUGGACUACGCGUGUUGCAUAGUAAAGGCAAAUGAUGAAUGAAUUGCCUAGAAGGAGCUUACUAAAGGUGAUAGUAUUUUCUCGAGGCUCUGGAUAGCUGGACUUGGUAUAUUCCUUCACUUUUGCUCUCAUCGUCAUCUUUUUUGUUGUGGUCUUUCAUUGAUUCUUCUGCAAAUGGCCUUUCCAAUUGUACUCCUUUGUUUUGCUGGUGUUGGGCAAUGUGUUUGUUCUAUAUCUGUUGAGAUCUAAACGCAGGGACAUUAGAGCUUGCCCUUUCAUAAUUCAAUGAUGUUGUUAGGUUCUUCUGAGGGCAUUUUGAUUGCUAUUGUAAUAAUAGAAAAUAUGACAAUCAAAAAUUUCAAGAAAUGCUAGCAAGUACUAAUCGACAUUAAACAUAGGGCUAGACUAAGAGGAAAGGGGGAUCAGUAACAGUGCUUCUUGGGUCAUAAAAGGAUCUAUUGCUUCCCAGUAUCAACCACCAAAAUGUCUUAUACUGCAUAUUCUUAAACUAUAACAUGGUUCUAGCUCCAGAGUGAUUGGCAACUUGUAGUUUUGUUCCAACACCUGGUUGUUUUAUUAAGUCAUAGUUUACUGUGAAUCCUAUUAGGGCUUUGGAAGAUGGAGAUCUGUCUCCUGCAUGCAUGGGAGAUGCCUUCAGAUGUAUGGGAAAGGCAGCUCGUGCUUCACUUUGUGCAAUAGCAAGGCAUCUUCGGCUUCGAAGCGAGUAAAAAUAGUUUUUGUUGGUAUUGCAUUUAGUUAACUCCAAAAUGGCUCCAGGGCACUGUAUCUGUUUCUAUGUUGUUUUCUGGUAACAAGUGCUAUAACUUCUGGCAGUGUUUUUAACCAUCUGCUGGAUGAUACCCCAUUGCCUGCUAACGAGGUCUCAUCAUCAGUUCUGAUUGCUGCCUGUUCUCAUGCCUCACAUACUAAUAAUAGCAAGGGCCAAAUUGGAGGAAAAUCUUCCAUUACUGAAGUUGAAAAGGGACUAUUGACAUUAAUUGCCUCUGACAGUCCUGGGAUUCAGGUAUUUAAUUGUUUCAUUUCAAUGAAUAGCAGCUAUUUACAUUGGUUCUGGAGGUUUUGGAUUAAGCUUUAUUUCUUGUAGUUGGCUAUUCAAAGUUUCCUCUCUAGAAAAUGAUUAAUAUUCACAUUUAUAUGAUGUCAUGUAUUGCAUCUUUUAUAGGUGUGCGAUCCAAAUGGUCAUUGGUUCCUAGCGGAUGGGGGUUCAGGUCCUGGAGAUCUAUUGCUACUAACAGGCAGGGCUCUAAGUCAUGCCACUGCUGGUCUCCGUCCAGCUGCCUCAUAUAGAAUGAUCGUUGAGUGUUUUCCUGGUACAGUGACUAGAGGAAGGUCUGAGAUUCCUUUAUGUCUCUGCCUCUGUCUUAUUCUAAUUAUUAUUUUUUAAUUAAGGCCCCUAUUUAUCUUAAUGGCAUCACUCUGGUUGUAGGGUAUCACUGACAUUUAAGCUCAUGCCUCAAAGUAAUGCUAUAUUGGAUUGCUCACCAAUUGCAGUGGCUGGGCAUGUUGCACCCCAGAGUUACCAACCAAUUUCGGUAAGCCAGUUUAUGGAUGACUUGUCUGCUGAAGAAGAUGCCAUGUGCAAUCAUCCUGACAAUAUUUAUGUGAGUUAACAAUUUUUGUAUCACUUGCAUGUGCUUAUCACCCUUUUCAGUUGUUUCACUUUAUCUAUGAUUGAUGUGAGUAGUAAUGUCUACCUCUAGAUAUGAAAUGUCACUUUAUUCUUCAUAUUCUAAUGGGACUUUGGAAGUCUGAUAUUAGUAUGAACACACUUUCCAAGGUUAAACCAACCCAGUAAAAUCAAUUCAGAUAAUUUUGCCAUCUGAUAGAUCUUAACUGUUAAUCUAACAGAUAGCACCCCAACUCCACCCUUUAUAAAAUUUUUAUCUGAAAGUAUAGUAGUAUACAUAGAAUAAAGGGAACAAAAACAGAGAAAACAGAAGAUAUAAAAAGAAAAAAAGGGAUUAUUUGCAAUAAAGAGUUAAACAACCAAAAGUAAGCUUUAUUUCACUCAAUAAUCAGAUGCAACUCAGUGUUGGUUCCCCUUGCAUUUGAUCUCCUUUCCUUUUAAAGGGACUUAAUUUUCUAAUUGGGAACUCAGAGUAAAGGGAAGUAACAGCGGAAGACUUUCGUAUUUGAAAACCAUAGUCCUAGAAAUUCCAAGAUAUUAUGAGGAGACAUUUUACUUUCUUUAAAUAAAAAAUGCAGUGGACAAUGAAACAAGGAUUUUCUGUUCCAUUUUUAUUUCUCCGUGUUAGAUCUUAUGAUACCUGGAUUGGGCUUAUCUCAAUUGACAUCAUUGUUUCAUUAUUUUGUUUUCAUUUUCCUUUGUUUUUUAAGCAUGGGAUGGAUUCAUUUCUCAAACCGUAUUACUAAUGCUCCAUUUCUAAUAAAUUUGAUCUACAAAUCAUUGUUCAUCAGGGCAAUUACUGGAGCACUGAAUAGCAUUGAAAGCGUAAACUUUCUCAACAAAUCUUGACCCAAAUAGAUGGUUUGGGAUUCAACCUAUUGAAAACCCCAUGAUUCUUGCCCCUUGAUAGUUGGGCUUCUUAUUGCUAGUCUUGCAAUGCUGGAUCGUCAUUUCCUUGCAAUGCUGGAUUGUCAUUUCCUCCCAUUCAGUUGUCUAUUCCUCCUCAAUCCCGGUUUUGCUUACCCAAGUGGGUAAUUGAUCCUGUUCCUCAACUCUUUUCUUCUCUUGGUGUUUUUCCUCCAUUCUUAUUUGUGGCAUGUCUGCAUUGGCAUGUGACAUUAUAUGCUCUUCCAAGACUAAAUCCUUGGUUAAGUUAUUUAUCAAACAAAAGGAAAUCUAUUUGAACCAAAUUAUUUGAUGUCUAAAGAAGGGCUGAUCCAAAACUUGAACGUUCAUAAUUGAUUUUUUAUUUAGUUAUGGAAUUUGCAAAUUCAAUUGAUAAGACCAUUUAAUCCCAUUGGUCGAGGAGUAUGGGAAUCAAGAGCUUAUAAGUUCGUCGGGUCUCCCUUACUUUCAGAGGCGUCUUUUGGAACUCACAUGCUCCGAAAGGACAAAAUCGUGCGGGUACGCUCAUCGUCCAAAGUGAAUAAUUCCUCGCGAGCCUACGGGCCGCACAAAUGGUCGGCUGACCAAAUGAUCCCUUAUCAGAUUGGCGCUAGAAGAAGGGUCCGAGGCCUGCACCUCGGUCGAGCAAACCCACUCCUAAGCCGUGGGUAAGAAUUAAUUUAAUAUAAACACAAAAUGGAAAAAAAAGGAUUAAAGGAAUAUAGCGAACAUACUUUAAAGCAUUGACUAUUGUAUUGCUUGAAAUAGUAUGAAAUGGGUGAUACCUAUCGGUCUGGACGUGGAUUGGUACAUAGACCGAAAGUAACGGUCUAGUUCAAUCGAGGGAAAAGAACGAAAAAAACCUAAAUCAAUGUUAGGCUUAUAAAAAAACUAAAAUAACAAUUAGGGCUUGCGAUUGUGAGCCCUCUUCUCGUGACGCCAUUGUCGUUGUUGUUCGAUGUCGUCAUCGUUGCUGACAUUCACUACCGUGUAUCUGCUUGAUAUACUCUCACCUCUUCUCCCUUCUUCCUUCUUCUCCUCCUCCACCGCUUCCUCUUCUUCCUUCUUUUUCUCAUUGCCUCCCCUUCUUCCUUCCUAUUCCUUCUUCUUCCUCCUCUUCCUUCACCACCCCUUCCUCCUCUUCCGCCACCACUGCUACUGUUUUAUGUUAUCACCGUUGACAUUCACCAACAUGUAUCUCCCUAGUACACUCUCUCUUCUUCCAUCUCCUCCAUUGCUUCAUCUUCUUUCUUCUUCUUCCUCCUUCUCCAUAGCUUUCUCUUCUUCUUACUCUUCCUCCAUCGCCUCCCCUUUUUUCCUCUUCCUCCACUGCCCCUUCCUCUUCUUCUUUUUCUUCCUCUCCGAAACACCGAUACGUACCGAUGUACCAAAACAUGGUACAUCAGUACGGAUAGUAUGUUCUAGUCCGACUAAAUCGCUGAAAUGGAUCGGGUACCCUAAAUGAUGAUCCUUGCUAUAGAGACAAUAGAACAUGUGCUUAUGUGAUUAUAUCCCACAAAUGGUCACAUAAACAAUAUACAUAUAUGUUUCAACAUAUACCAGAAUCAAAGCAUUAAAAUUCCAUAUGGAGUUGUUGAAAUGUGAUGUGAGGCUACCACCUAAACUUACACUAUGGUAUAGUAAUGAUCUUGUGAAUUGUGACACCUUGAUUGGAUCCACUUUGGAAGUUCUUGGUUAAUUAUGGGGUAGACGAGCGUUGGAUUAUAUUACAGUGGGAAGCCACCAAUGGAUUAAGCAUCAUAUGGCCUUGUCAAGAAAUGAUUCAAAGUUUUGUAUUGUUCUUUAGGCUUUGACAAGGGCUUCAAGCCAUGACGAUGAUCAUUCCUGCAUAAGAAGUGGGAUGAUGAUGAUGAUAAUGAUAUAGAGAGCUAUAUAGGCCUACCACCAUUGGAUGAGCUCAAACAUUUUGGAUUACAUGGUUCUAAACUUAUUAAAUUGCUGUGUCAAUUUUCUUCUUGGACUGAGUUGUGGCAGAUUACUUUUGCCUACAAUUAUAUAUUAUAUAAACAUUAACAUAGGGAUAUUACUGGUUUUGUACUUGACAAAUAGGCCAAUAAGUAGAUUCUAGGUAAAAGGUAUCUUAGCUUUUUAAUUAUCAGUGCUUCAUCUAAUCAUAGCACAUCAUACAAUGUUAUGUUGACAAAAAAGAUUAAUAAAAUUUAAAGAAAAUUUGGUAAUUUUAAGAAAGGAUGUGAAAGGAAAAGUAAAUGAUAUGAUUAUCUGUAAGGUAAAAGGUGAGGAAGAGUCAAAGUGGUACAUGAAGAAAUAAAUUAAGACAUUUUAGAGAGAGAUCCUAGAGAACAGCCUUGUUACUAAUUUUUCAUAACAACAUAUAGGAUUUUAUUUUUUUAAUCUAUAGCUCUUCAGCUACUAUUGACAUGAUUGCGUCAGAUCUUUUUCUGGACUUCUAUUCUUAUUUCUUAAUUUUGUCACCUUUUAAUCUCUUAAUAACUAUUAUUAAAGACUGUCAUACUUAUGAUCUUGUCUUUUGUUUCUCGGGGACGUAUUUACAUUAUUUGAAAUGCAUUUACAUAAUCAACAAAGUUAACUUACAUGUAUGCCGUAUUGAUGUCGAAACUUAUCUUUUUUCCCUUUUUAUAGUAACUUGAUUUUUUUUUCUUCCAAUUUGCUGUGUUAGAAUGUUGCAUACCGAUUCUUAGAUUGUAUUAGUUUGCUACAUUUCAUGUGGUGCUGUGCAGUAAUUACUUUUGUAUUUUAAGCUGCAUUUGUAGAUGCCAAUGACCAUGAUAUUGCAGGAAACUCAGAAUGAUCCUAUGAAGGAACCAUCACUGAGAAGCAUACUUUCGGACCCUUUGUCGUAAGUCUUCAGUCUCCAUGUGUACUUUUAUAUACUAGUAGUGCUUUUAGAUGUUUGAGCUUAAUUUGUUUUUUAACUGGUUUUAUUUGAUAAUAAUUGUUGACUCAUUAUACUCUUCUUUGUUUGGUGAUGGGUCUAAUAUUGUAACUUGACAUCUUAGUAUUUUGGUUUAGAUCUCAUGUAAGUUAGUUUGUCAUUUUGACUUUGAGCAUGUUCUGUUCAGAAGUAUUUUUUCUUCAAUAAGGAAACAAUCUAAUAACCAUUGGGCAGGUAUUAGUGAAAUGCAAAUGUUCUUUUAUUGAUGUUCUUAAUAAAGUUGUUAUAAGCAUUAACUUCAAUAUUAUAACGGUCUUGAUAAAUAUGAUAUCAUGAUCAGCUCAUAGUUAUUGGUUAUUACAAGUACCCUAUAUAGCAUCUAACAUAAGUCAUCUUCUUCGAGAACUAUCUUUAUCCAAUAUACAUAACUGUGCAUCAUGAUCUACUAGGCACUAGGGUGUUCAAAUCAAACCAAAACAUCGAAUUGAACCGGAUGCAAACCUAAAUCAAACCGGUCCAAAACUGGUUCAGUCUAAACCAGUUCACCAAUAGUUCAUGAUUCUAUUUUGGGAUACUUUUCUUUUGUUAGGUUAAUCGGUUCGAACCGAAUUGAAUUGAUUUUAAUUUAAAAGUUAUCAUUCUAGUUGAGUUUACUGUCUUAAGCCCUUAACUAGUUUAAACUAAUUAAUUAAAUCAGUCUAAAGGUCCAAUUUUAUAAAUGACGUGAGCUCAAUUUCAUAAAUCUUGUCAUGUUAGUCUAAUUGGACCAAGAUUUUGGUUUGGUUUGGUUUAAUUGAACUAAAUUGGUUCAUUUGAAAAAUAUAUAUUAUAAAUUAUUUAAAAUUACAAACCAGUUAAUCGGUUAACCGAACCAGAUUAACCAAAUUUGAAUCAGUUUAGUUAGGUAGGUCCAAAUCGGAUCGAGUUCAGACUACCUUAUAUUAAUCAAAUUGAACCCAAAAAUUGUUUUGGUCUAGUUCGACCCUUAACUGUUCAGUUUGGACUGGUUUGAACACCCCCACUAGGCACUUAGUGAGGAAAUUCCAGGGCACCUUGAGGUGCUCUGAACAAGAUGCCUUCAUUUGGGUGCCUCAUUGUGAGCACCUUAGUUGAGGCGCCGGGCAUUCCACGUGCCCACCUGAGCUGGCUUGAGUGACCCAAAACCCGCAUGCCAGUCCAAACUCAAUCCUCCCUUCCCUUGAUUCAUUCUAAAACCAAUUCCCACUGGGACCCUUUCCAAGCUCAAUUUCCGUCCCCCUCCCCCAAAUUCUUAUCUGUUCCAACCUAAUCCAAACCAAACACUAUCCCACUUGGCCCUCAAUCCAAAUAUAAUGCCUCAACCCAUCCUUCAUAUGAUGUAAUUAUCUCCUUUUACACCUACGGUCUACAUAGCAUUUUUCCAUUGACUUUUCAGCAAUGCUAUAUUUUUGCCAUCAUCUAUGCCUUCAACUCCAUCCGGUACAUCUCCUUUCCUUUCCUCUUCUCUUCCCUCUUUCCUCACUCUAGGUCAUCAAUUUCUAGAUAAUAUUGGGCUUUUUAUACUUCUUUGAGUACCCACCAAAAGUUCAUAAACAAUGUUUUAAAUUUUAAAAUCACUGAAUUCAAUGUUAUGAUUGGAACUAUGUUUUGUACUCAUGAGUAAACUAGAUUUUCCCCUCUUAAGGUGCUCUGUUGCUGCAUCCUCUGUUCUCUAUCUUUGCUCCUUUUAGAUCCUUUCAUGGCUAGAAAAAAGAAGGUUGAGGUUAUGGUUUGAAGAACUUUUAACAACUCACCGUGGUCGCUUGGGCUCGAGCUGUUAGGAAUUGUGAGGAAACUUGAAAUUUCUCUCUCCAUAUAUAUUAAGUUUUUUAGUUUCAUCUUUAGCUCAAUUAAAUGACAUGGUUUAGAUGAUAAUAUAUACUCAUUAAUGGUCUAUACCAAUCAUAUACGUAUUAUAUAUCACUAAUAUAAGUGUAACUACUUAUUUAUAUCAUCUUUUGUUUUAAUUUUCAUCUUGUUUGUAAUAAUAUUUUAUUUAUAGUUAUUACACAUAGUUUGAAAAAAAUAGUUAUUUUGUCAUGGUACAUGCUAAAGUCUAAAGGUUUUAAUUUCAUCCCGUCGACAUCUUUGGUGGAAUCAAAUGAUAUCUUAUGUGUUGUGUUAUGGGUUUAUCACUUAGGGUAUAUUUCUUAAAGAAUAAUAACAUAACCUUUGCACCCAUUGUGUAGAUAAAAAUCAUUUAAUUUAGAGAGCAAAAUAAUAUUUUUUAUAGGGUUUAAGUAAAAUGAUUGCAUGAUGAAUUCUUAAAGAAUAAGCCAUAAUUUCUUUUGUUUUCUCUAAUGGGUCUUGUUUAUUAAUGUAAAAUUAUCAAUUCAGAGGGACAAAUAAAUUCGACUUAGAUCAAAUUUUAUGAUAAUUUAAAAUAAUAAUGAAGUAUCAUUGUAAAAAAUACCAUAGUUGGACAAAUAUUGGACAAAAUAUCAGUGGUUUAAAUAGGUGCUCGGGCGCAUGCCUAGGCACUUAGCUGAGGCGAGGCAAGACCUGAGUGCCUUAAAGAUUAACUAGGCGACGCGCUUUAGUGAAGCGUCGCCUGACCGCUCGCCUGAACCAAGGCACUAAGCUCCUCGUGUGAGCGCUCGGUUGAAACAAAGCAAUCAAACUACUUCGAUUGAAUAAUAGCUAGUUAGUUCGAUUGAACCAAGUUAUAUAAUGUUACUAUAUUUGCACAAAACCCAUCCCUUUGCCCCUUGCGCUACCCCGAGCUAUAAACCCUAGUGCAGCUGUUGCUUCCACCACAAACACUUCCUCUACCGCUGCCUCCUCUGUCGACGUAUAGGACCGACGCUUCCUCUACUGUCGAUGGACUGGUUCGAAGGCCUAGCUUUCGUACGUAGUUCCCUCCGUUGUCGUUGCUUCCAUAUGUAGCUCCUUUUGUUGUCAAGGGAGAGGACUGCAACUUCCUUGACCAUCGAUGGACACAUCCGAAGCUUCCAUCGUCAUCAUUGUUGCUAUUGCCAUUCGAAGCUUUCUCUGUUGCUGCUAUCAUUGUCCAUAGCUUCCUCUACCAUUGCUACUGUCGUCCGAAGCUUCCUCCAUCGCUGCUGUCGUACAAAGCUUCCUUUGUUGCUGCUAUUGUUGUCCGCAGCUUCUUUCGCCGCCGCCGUCAUUGUCGCCAUUAUCCGCAAGUUCCUCCAUCACCACUGUCCUCUCCUUCCCCACUUUCCAUCGUCGAUGAUUCUUUUCUCCCCUCUAACUACUAUUAACAAUAGAUUAUUAACUACUAUUAUCAUAUAAUAGUCCUUAUUUUGAUUUUAGCACUACUAAUCUCUAUUUAUUUAGAACUAUUAUUAGGGUUUCUGGAUUAAUGGCAAGUGUAUAAAGCAAUUUAUAAGAUUCAUCCAAAAAAUUCAAGAAAGGAUCUUGUUUGGAAAUAUAAUUAUCUAAAGGAUCUUAAAGAUCCUAAUGCAGUUAUUUGUAUCUUUUGUAAUAAGACCACUAGAGGUGGUAUUUUUUGUGCAAAGCAACAUCAAGUAGGGAACUUUAAGAAUGCAUCAGCAUGCAAGAAGUGUCUGCUUGGUGUAAAAGCAGAGUUGCUGGCUUAUAUGACCGAAAAAAAAAAGUUGCAAAGGAAUGGAUCUUAUGGGAUUUUACUUGGGGAUAAUAUUGAACAUAUUAGAGGUGAUAAAGAAGAAGAUUAUUCAGAAAGUGUAAAUGCAAGUGGAAAAAGAGUAUAUGACAAAAAAAAAACUAUGAUUGUUUAGAAGAAUAAAAUGGGAUCGAUGGACUUAUAUAUGUAUCAAGGAUCACAGAAGGAACAAAGUUAAGCAAAAGUAAAAUUAAGACAAAUAAAUAUAAGUGAUAUUUAUGAUAAAGAAAAGGGGAAGAACGAUUCAACAUAUUGCUCUUUUCUUUUAUCAGGUUAGACUUCCCCAUAGUGCUUGUCGUUUGGAUAGUUUUAAAGAGAUGAUUGAAGUUAUUGAAAGAUAUGGUGGGAGAUUAAAACUUUCAAAUUAUUAUGAAUUGCGAGUUCUAUUACUGAAAAAAGAGUUGGAUCAUAUAAAUGACUUAUUAAAGGGUCACAAAGAAUCAUGGGUAAAGCAUGGUUCUUCCAUUAUGUCAUAUGCUUGGACCAACAAAAAACAUAGGAGUAUAAUUAAUUUUAUGGUUAACUGUUUUUUAGGAAUCAUGUUUGUGAAAUAAAUAGAUGUAUCAUCUUUUAUAAAAUCUAGAGAAAAGAUAUACGAGUAACUUGACAAGUUUGUGGAAGAAAUUGAUGAACAAAAUAUCGUCCAAGUUAUAACCGACAAUGGAAGCAACUAUGUGUUAGCUGGUAAGAUUUGUCUUUUAAAUUUUUAAAUUUUUUAGUUACUUUAUGUCUCAAAUUUGAAUGAAAGAACUCUCAAGUCUUAUGAAUUUUGUUUUCCUUUGUCUUAUGUAAAUUACUUGAAGUAAAAAGACAACAUCUAUAUUAGACUCCAUUUGUGGCAAAUUGCAUUGAGUUAAUAUAUAAGGAUAUUGGAAAGAUCCAUGAUAUCAAGAAGAUUUUAGAAAGGGCAAUUAUUGUCAUUAGAUUUCUCUAUAAUCAUACUGGGGCUUUGAAUAUAAUGAGAGAAUUCACAAACAAUAAAGAAUUUGUGAGAUAUAGUGUCACCCGAUUACUACUUCCUUCUUGACAUUGCAGGACGUGCAUCGUCAAAAAUAUAACCUGAGAGACAUGUUUACCUCGAGGUAAUGAGUGACAAGCAAAUGAGCAAAAGGAGUGAAAGGCAAGAGGGUCGGUGAUAUCAUCUUAUUGUCGUCAUUUUGAAAUCUUAUAGUUUAUACAUUAAAGAUAAUGAUCCCUUUUGUUUAAGUCCUUCGGUUGGUAAAUAAUGAAAAGAAGCCUACAAUGAGAUAUAUUUAUGAGGCUAUGGAUAGAGCAAAAGAGAUGUUUCAAAAGUCGUUUGAUGAAAAUGAAGAAAUAUAUAAGAAAAUAUUUAUAAUCAUUGACGAAAGAUAGAAUUAUCAACUUCAUCGUCCAUUACAUGCGGUAGGACAUUAUUUGAACCUAUAAUUUUUUUAUAAGAACACCUCCAUUGAGUUCUAUACAAAAGUUGUAAAUGAAUUAUAUAAGUGCAUUGCAAGAUUGGUUCUAAACCUUGAGGUGCAAGACAAGAUCAUACGUGAAUUAUUUUUAUAUAAAAAUGUCGAUGGUCUUUUUGAAAUUCCUUAGCAGUUUGAUCUAGGACAAUUAUAUCCUUAGGUAUUUAUAAAUUUAUAUAAUUAUUUUUAUAUAUAGUAAAUUAUUGUUAGUAAUAAAGUAAAUUUUGUAUUUGAAUGGUGUAGUCUAUUUGAAAAUUCCACCCCGAACUUGUAGUAAUUGGUUAUCAAAAUUCCUACUUUGACUUAUAAUGUUAAAAGUUGUGAGUGAAACUAGAGUAUCUUUGAGCAUGUAUAGAUCACAGAAUAUUUUUGUUUCAGUUAAUCUAUUCUUUUUUAGAUAAAUGUAUUCAUAUGUUUUUAAAUGGUAUGAUAUGAUAGAUUCAGACAAAGGGAAGAGAAAGAUGAUGAUAUGUUUGAGAAUGACGAUGUUGAUUGAAUUUGAUAUAAAGCUUUAUCGCUUUAAGUCUUUUUACAUUCUUGUUAUUAGAAAAUGGAUAAUGUGACUUAGUACCUUAUAUAUCUUCAAUUUAAUAUCAUAUUUUUAUUUAUAUAAUCAUAUUUAUCAAUUGUGUUAUAUAUAUAUUUUUAUAUUUCAAUAUUUCAGAGCGUCUCGCUUCGUUCGAGCAAGUACCUCGAGCAUUUUGGACCUUGGCGCAUAACGCUUUUUAAAUCACUGCAAAAUAGUCUUAAUUAAGUUCCAGGCAUUCAUGUUGAAGAGUGCCAAUUUCUCAUUAUAAGUAUCGAUUGUGGAAUUAGACCGGACCCCACGUAUUGGAUCACAAAUUUACUAUCCAAGUUACAUCUCUUAUAGGAUGAUAGUUCGUAAUGUUUGCAAAGAUAAUGUUGGUGAAAAUCAUUCAUUUAGAAAAAUAAUUUUAUUUUUAACUCUCUUAAUUCUAUAUCAUUGAUUUGUGCAACUUUCUAGUGCCAAUGUGUAUAUAUUUCUUUACCUUUAAGAGUGUUUAUAAUGAGCAGAAGCAGCCCAUCAUUUAUGUUCUUCAGCAAUUCAAGGUUAAAUCUCAUGUAUUAUUGCUAAAGAAUAUACAUGAUAAGCUGCUAUAUAUCUUAAAAGGGAGCAACAUGUUAUUGAUUGGGCAAACCAAAUGUUGUGCUUGAGUGGUACACAUCUAUAUCUAGAGAUAUUACUUUGAUUUAAACUUUCUUAACAUACCAGCUAUACAUGAAUGCUUUUAAUUCUUGAUGUAGCCCACAUUUACCCUUUUGUGGGAAAACUAGGUAAAGUUAACUUUCUUGCUCAAUUAUCAUGAACAUUAGGCAAUGGAUUACUACGAAAUUUACUCUAUUUUCUUCAUAUAUUUCCCAAAGUUAGUUAUAGCAUGGAUACUAAAGAUGAAACUUUUGUCUUGCUGUAUUUUUAAGUGGAAAUUGUUAUCUUUAUUUAAUUUUACGUUGUGUAAUUCCAGUAAGCUCUCAAACUCAUGUUUUACAUGUUUGCUGUUUCAGUGGGGCAUUCCUUGAGGAUGCUAUGGUUGUCUCUUGUGGGCAUUCUUUUGGUGGCCAUAUGCUGAAGAAAGUUAUAGAAAUGGUAUAUGUAAAUUCUCAUCCACUCUAUUCUUUAAGAGCUGUUAUACUGUAUCCAAGACCAAAUAAAGUCACUGGUUUUUGUUUUUGUUGUGCAUAUAAUGUAGGAAGGGUUAAUUAGAAAGAGCUUGUAGGAGCAAUAAUAUAUAGUGUUGAACUUGACCUUUUAGAUUAUAAAACAGUUUAAAAAAUUGAAGUUCAAAAUAGAAUGGAGCUUGUAUUGCCUCAGCCAAAUGCUAGUAAUAUCAUUAAUUCUAGUUCAAAAUGACUUUAAAUUAGCAGUUGAUCUUGACUUCAUUGUGAGUAAUGCAUUUGUAUGAAGUAUGUUCUUUGGGAUCUGGAAAUGAAUAUUGAAGUCUUAUAGAAAGGGCAUUGGUUCUAGAGUCUAAAGCAUACUCUCUCCAAAUGCAUUGUCACAAUAAGGAUCUAGUGAACUUGGUCAAUCUGACCUAAAUUUAUACUGUUUAACUGUGGGUACUUUUAAAAUUGAGGAAAAUACAGGUCUUCUUUGUUUGUUGGUUUAUUCAGUUGUUUAUAUCAUAUGGUUCUUUCAGUUAUUGUUCAUAUUUUCUGGACUAACGAUGAUUAUGACCGAUGCCUGUUUUUGUUUGUUCAUUUUGGUUAUAAAAUCAGGCCAGAUGUAAUAUAUGUAAUGAAGAGAUAGAGACAGGGAUGUUGAUCCCAAACUAUGGUAAAUAGAAAUCAUAAAUAAAUUUUGAGUAAGUUAUAUCUGUAUUAUGAUUGUGGUCCAAGGAAAAGUUCUGUAGUGAUCUUCUUUCCUUUCAGCUGUGCGAGCUGCAGCUACCACAGUGAAGAUGGAGGAUGAUAAGCGACUCUUUCAUAAUGCUGCUCUACGCAAACGUAGGAAAGAAGUUGGUGAACAAAUGGAGGCACUGAAGAGAUUGGCCAAAGUGUGUGGUCUUACAGAUACUGCAUUUUCUUUUCUGGUUUAGAAAGUGUUUAAAAAUCUUUCCUGUUUUAUUUGUAUUGUCUUAUAUACAGGUAAAUGGGGAGAUAGCAGCCGAGAGUGACGGCCCUAGACAACUAAAGGGAGUUCAAUAUCCAUUUGUAGUAAAUGAGAAAGUUUUGAUCAAAGUAUGAUCUCGAGCACAAACUUAACUGUAGGCCUUUCCUUUUUUAUAAGCAAUAAUAAGUUGGUAAGAAUACAAAGGAAAGAAAAUUGACAAUAGAAAACAUGCAGGGAAACAAGCGGACUGCUGAUAAAUUGGUUGGAAAGGAAGCAAUAAUAACAUCCCAAUGCUUGAAUGGCUGGUAUGUUCAUAAGAGUAAUGGCUUUUGAUCUUUUCAAAUACGUCAAUAGAUAUACAUGGUUGAUUGUUGUAACAUAAUGUAAUUAAAAACUGACCUUUUGCUUUUGGAGAACCUAAGCAGAAGCUUUGUUUGCCCACUAUAGUGGGUAGAUUAUCUCAUUGUUGCAGUUUGGAUGUGUGAAUUAGGUCUGAAAAAAUCUUUUAAUUCAAUAAUGUGACUAAUAUCUCAUUCCCAGGUACUUACUCAAGAUUCUGGAUAGUGGUGAAAGUGUUCGUCUGCAAUACCGCUCUCUUCAGAAACUCCCAAGCUCACAAGCAGAUGACAGGAUACAACCACAACCCUUGCUUAUAAGUAGCAAUUGAGUAGAUGGUGCUAUGGUUGCUACUUGGCUACAAGAGUCUUUUGUGAUACAAAUUCUGCUUGUUUUGUAAUUUUUGGACAGUAUUUUUUGCCAGGUUUUUAAUGGACAUUAACUUAUGAAGAAGUUUUACGAUAGGAAAUGAGAAUGCCAAGACACAGAGCAGUGCCUCAACAUAUAGAAAGAGAACAAACAAAAGGUGCUCAUGAAACAGUGGACUUUGUAUCUUGAGCGAAUGAUGUUCAAUUUUACCAUCUUGGUUUUGUCUCCUGCUACUGCAGGUAAUAGAUGUCACACAAAAAAUGAGCCUUAGCAUUCUCCACUUGUACAGCAUCCAACUAGUUAAGCAACGACGAUAAUAGGGAUGAGAAAGUUUGACUUGUGAAAUUAUCCAACUAAGUUAUUCAACCCGCCUUUUUUUGGACAUUUUGGUUUGUUGUCAUUGUUUGUUAUCUUUUGACCCAAGGAUAGUGUGGCAUAUUCUGUGGAUCUGGAUCUUCUCAUGCUGUAAGUCAUCUUUGUGCGUCAGUGUAGAAGUUAUCAUUACUGUAUGAUUGUGUCAUUCCUUAGUCUGAUGCAUUGGUUUGAUCAUAUAAUCCAUUAGUUAGGGAUUUCAAAAAUCCAACUUGGAUUUAUUUUCACAGAUUGAAUAGCUUUAUCUUCGUGUACUUGUUGAUGAUGUUAAUGGAUUACAAGAUACAGUUGCAGAUUCAACUAUGCAACGUGGAUUCCUUUUUCGGUUUCUAGGGAAUGUUUCGGGUCAUAAUGAUGUAUAGGUUGUUGGCUCAUGUAAUAUUGAAAUUCACAGGUAGAUUUCCGCUCAAUAUUUUCACUGUUUCUCUGUCAUUUUUUACCUUUAUCUUCUUAUUUAGAGAAAAGAACAUUGCUGUUUUCAUAUUUUUUUGCCGAGAGUUUUACUCUUUCUCGAAUGUAGUAGUAGAUCAUCGAGUUUAUGCUACCUCCUAAAUAGUGAUUCAAGUUUUGGUAUACCAAAAUAGAUCUUCUUUUCCAUACUUUUCCAGUUACUUUCAGUUUCUCCCUUUCUUUUACUGACUAUUUAUUUUUUCUUGUUUUGUUCUGCACAUGGACUUGUAGUUAUGCUAAAAUUUCUUUCUAAGUUCCUCCACACAAGGAAUCUAACCUUUUUUCUCUGUAAAGCAACCAAACUAUUGGUUGUGCCAACAUCUGGUAAAAUAGUUUAGAUUCUUGAGUAGAUUGAAUCCAAUUGAAUUUGGACUAAGAUUUUAUAUUUUCUAUGUUAACAUUUGGUAAAUUAGUUUAGAUGAAGAUGUCCAGAUCAAUAUUUGGGGUUACUACGAACGAAAGAUAGAAUUAUAAGCAAUAAAGAGUUUCAACAAGCACAGAAUAAUGGGUGGAAGCAUGCGCUGUCCCAUACUUGGUGGUAAUCCAGUUCAACAACCUCAGAAUAAUUGAGUGGGCUGGUAUAGUCAUCAAUGGCUGCUUCGGCUUCCCAUUGGAUUAAGGCCAACGAGAAGGGAAUGGGUGAGAAGCAUUGCAGGAACAAAGGAUACGUGCUGGUGAAUAGUCGACUGUAUGCAGACGCUGAUGGCAUCCUAAUCUCAAAGGAGAGCAACUCACUCCAACAGAUUGUUCUUAACAUCCUGCAUUUCUGAACCGUAUGGUGCAUUUGUGUUUGACUUUUUUUUGCUUUCUAAUGUGUAUUCGAUGUGUAUUCCUCAUUAGGUAGCAACAAUUCAAGAUCUCGUACGAGAUACAUAUACCAUGAUAAACAAUAAACUGAUGUUUGGCUGUGUAUUUACUAUGUUCAUGAAAUUUGUAGAAAUAUGAAAUGGAAAUGUUGUUUCCUUUUGAGUGUGAUUUGAUGUCUCUGAAUACAAGAUUUGCUGUUGCAACUGCGGUUUUUGAUGUCAAAAUCUUGUCGACAGAGAGAAGGUUAUGCUUGGUGUAGUAAAAAGAAAAAUGCAGGAACGCACAUUGGUCAUGAAAAUAUAAGCUCAUAAUAUUUAUCAUAUGAUAAAUUUAGUGUUCUUAUGGAAGCAUUACUGGUUUUAGUUAGUGUCAUAUGAAUCCUCUUCAUGACUAUCCAACAAAAGACCAUCCAGAAGUCAAUACCCCCCCCCCACCCAAAUUAUUUGAUGUGCAUGAGUUGAAGUAGAAAAGGCAGCAACAAUGUUUGCUGAUGGAUGAAUCUGAAAGGAGAAUGAGCAAUGAAAUCCAUGGAGACAACCAUGAGAGCAUCCUCGGUCGGGGGAUUUAGUGAGGUGACAGUGCUCUCAGAGUUAGGUGGAAAUGUGCCGCGAUAUCUGAACUCGACCAACUCAACUUUUGGCAGAAAGAACACAUUCCUGUCUCACUCGCUACAGUAUCAAGAAAGAGGAGAAAGAGAAGUCUUCUCUCUUCAGAGUUCUUGUGUGCAGAAUGUAUCCGUGUUGUGCUUGUAAGUAGUGGAGAUCCCAAUCUCAUCUUCUUGUUGAUUUAAGGGGACUUUCUUCGACAAAAAUGUUGGGGCUUAAUUCUUUGUUAAUUUCUCUUAUUAGGAAAGUCAUCAUUGUUUCUAUGAAAAGGAUCACAAACUUAGUUCUUGUGUUGACAUGGUUUUAUCAUUUGAGGAUUUCUUUCUCCCUAAAAUGUCACCUCACUCGAGCGUCUGACAGAUUGGCCAGCAGGACACAGACGAAUCGUAGGAAAUCUGAAUCAUACAGUCGAUCUUUAGGUGGUGGAGCGCUAUGCAAUAGAGUGGUAGUGAAGACACGGGAGUACGUGCGUGAGUCAACUUGUGGCCAAACUGGGAGAGGAAGCUGUUGUCGUCACUGUCCCUUCCGUGGCUGUCGAAUUAGUCAGUCCUCUCCUGUUGUCCUCCACGUUGAAUUGAAAAAAUAAUAAUAAUAAAUUGAUUUUAUUCCUGAGGACGGAGAUGAAUAUUUAUACAAAAUUUGAAUUUUUUUUUCAAGGAUCGUAAUCAAAUUAAUUUUUUAAAUAAAUGAUUGAUAUUCAAAUAUUGAGGAUAUAAGAAAAUAGAGACGUUAUUUCAUACGCAUGAGUCUUUAUUAUGAUCUUCUAUCAUGUCUUCGUAAAUUUCUGUCAAAGAAUGUCAAGUUUGAUGUAAUUGAAAUGUUUUACGGGCAAGAGAUUUUUUGAAAGAAUCUAUUAGUUGAUCAGAAGUAUGUAUAUAAGAAAUACGUAGUUGAUAUCUAACAACUUAAUAUCUGUCGAAGUGAAAGUCGAUAAUAAUAUAUUUCAUAUGUGAGUGGAAUACUAGAUUGACACAUAGGUAUGUAUAACCAAUAUUAUCAUAGUAUAUUAUAAAAGUAGAAUUAAAGUAAUAUUCUAUUAGUAGAUUGAUGAUCCAAUUGAGUUUUGUAGCGACGGUGAUAAUGACUUAAUAUUCAACUGAUUCAAUUUGCUUCGAAGAAAAUAAUAUAAAUUAAUGAUUAGACCAAUCUAGCUGUAGUAAUGAGCUUAAUUUCUCAUGGCUUGAGAUGCUUUUGGGAUUCAAAAGAACUUGACACGACUUCUGAAUGCAAAUUCCAUGUGGGGUAUCUCUUCUUUUGAAGAUAGGGUUGAGGAGUGCUGGGAACACCUUUUUGUUGUGUAGCGUACCAUCCCCACCUCACGGCGCAUAUCGUCGAACACCUCUGAGGCGGGACAAGGACAAGCUCGUGCCACUUAGCAACAUCCAACACUGAAAUGGUGGUACUUCAGAUCCGGAGACACCCAUUGACUUUAUUUACGAUCUCACAGCGUAGCCGAGAGAGUACUGCUGAAGCUUAAAAGGACGACAACACCUACAUGCGUGCUUAAACCUUAUUCGUGAGACACACGAGCGACACAAGGUUUCUAUGGGGAGUAGUUCGACCCCCCGGUCUCCACGAAGCUCAUCACCUUUUUCCAGGCGGGCCGGCCGGUGAUGUCCUCCCACCACGUCUUGACGUGCUUCUUGUCGUCCAAGAGGUGCGACAGGCCGCAGUUCUCCACGAUGUAGCGGGUGGCGGGGAUGUGGGUCAGGUCGGCCAGCGUGAACUCGUCGCCAGCCAAGUACUUGGUCUUCGACAGCUGCUUCUCGUACACCUCCAGGACCUUGUUGAGCUUGUCCACGGCGGCGCCGGCGUCCGCCUUGUUCGCGGGGAGGCCACGGAUGGGGAGCACGAACAGGUUGAAGACGAUGGGGAACGCCCAGGGGUUGUAGUUGAUGGCCUCCACGUCCAGCCACUGGUCCACCUUCGCUCGCUCCUCCAGCGUCCGGCCGAGCAGGUUAGGCCCGCGGUC